UACGUAGGGGGCAAGCGUUGUCCGGAAUCAUUGGGCGUAAAGAGCGUGUAGGCGGCCAGAUAAGUCCGCUGUGAAAACUCGAGGCUCAACUUCGAGCUGUCGGCGGAAACUAUCUGGCUAGAGUCCGGAAGAGGAGAGUGGAAUUCCUGGUGUAGCGGUGAAAUGCGCAGAUAUCAGGAAGAACACCCGUGGCUAAGGCGGCUCUCUAGUACGGUACUGACGCUGAGACGCGAAAGCGUGGGGAGCGAACAGG
rnacentral:rRNA from 1 species